rnacentral:rRNA from 1 species
UCUGGGACAAGCCCUGGAAACGGGGUCUAAUACCGGAUAUGACCGUCUGCCGCAUGGUGGAUGGUGUAAAGCUCCGGCGGUGCAGGAUGAGCCCGCGGCCUAUCAGCUUGUUGGUGAGGUAGUGGCUCACCAAGGCGACGACGGGUAGCCGGCCUGAGAGGGCGACCGGCCACACUGGGACUGAGACACGGCCCAGACUCCUACGGGAGGCAGCAGUGGGGAAUAUUGCACAAUGGGCGAAAGCCUGAUGCAGCGACGCCGCGUGAGGGAUGACGGCCUUCGGGUUGUAAACCUCUUUCAGCAGGGAAGAAGCGAAAGUGACGGUACCUGCAGAAGAAGCGCCGGCUAACUACGUGCCAGCAGCCGCGGUAAUACGUAGGGCGCAAGCGUUGUCCGGAAUUAUUGGGCGUAAAGAGCUCGUAGGCGGCUUGUCACGUCGGUUGUGAAAGCCCGGGGCUUAACCCCGGGUCUGCAGUCGAUACGGGCAGGCUAGAGUUCGGUAGGGGAGAUCGGAAUUCCUGGUGUAGCGGUGAAAUGCGCAGAUAUCAGGAGGAACACCGGUGGCGAAGGCGGAUCUCUGGGCCGAUACUGACGCUGAGGAGCGAAAGCGUGGGGAGCGAACAGGAUUAGAUACCCUGGUAGUCCACGCC